GAAGUCUGCUUGGAUACGUCAGUGAUCGUCAGAAAAAAAGGUCCCUUGGGCUAAAAUUUGUCUUAAAUAACAUGACAGGGCAAAUGAGGAAAUGAAUGGGCAAUUAAGUCAGACAAAUAAGUCAGCAGGCGAGGUUCGAGAUAACAUCUGUGUAAUUUCCCCAUGAUGGCAGGCCCCGUGGGAGCCAACACAGGAGAUGAACUGACUUGAGCUAAGUACUAUUAAUCGUUUAAUUACCACUGCCUGAUUCAAUCCAUCAAAUCAUGCCAUGGUGUGCCUCAUACACUCAGGUCAUUUGUGCCGUCAGCAAAUUGCACCGCCUCGGACGUAAUACUGUUGUUUGGUUUGUAAGUGUUAUAUAAUAUGGAACAAACACAGUUACACUAGUCUUUUGUGUAAGAACAUCAUACUGCUGGUUUAGAGCUCGAUUUUUUUUCUGAGAUGCUUCCGGCAUCUUUAAACACUUUAAUAUGAGAUGGAAAUUAGUUUUAAAGCUCAUCUUUAUGGUUUAAAUACUUUAACAAAUAUACAACACAAGCACAAAGUGUACCACUGAUGCUUCCUGGCUUGCUUUGAGUAUAGCACACUCGAAGAAACAUGGUUGGGAACCUAACCAUUAACAGACGUCCAUUCCCUCCAUCAUCCCUUCUUCGCUUCACUGCAUCUCUUUACAUCUUACAGACAUGCAGUUAUAUACUACUGAAAUGUUCAUGAAGUUUCUUGACCUUGACAUACACUGCUUUUAGUUCAGGUGCUAACAUGGCUUGUUCAGCUACCACAAUGUAAGCCUCUCAGCCUGAAACAAGCAAAACGUAUGUUCUUGUUGUCCUUUGGCACGGACCAUCUUAGGAAGCAGUUGUUGGUUCAGACGUUCCCUGCCCUGACUGUGUGGUGAUGCCAAUGCAGACAUGGCAUGUUAGCCAGACAGUAGGUUAUAGUUGAAUCCAUACCAAGCAACACAGCUUAAACAACUUGCUAAUUACAAAUGCCCAUUUCUGAUGACUAAUAAGCUCAGAAAGCUAUCUAAAGCACUCUCUAGACAUAUACACUACCUGGUAUCAGGGAUUGCUCAGCUGAAAUCAGUGAAUCUAGACCUGAAGCUUUACAGAAAGCUGAUGCACUUUAAAUGGAGCCUUUCAGAUGCCCCAUAUACUGUAUAUUACACCCGAGGUAAAUAAGAUGUUGUGUCUAUGGCUGCAUCUUGGUCAUUUUCCAUCCUCUGCUAGUUUGCAUGCUCUGUUGGCAACCAUGCUUAAAAUGGUGUCCUGAAUAGGACUGGCUACUGACAUGCAACCCAGGGCAUCUAUUGUGUUCAUUUGUAUAGCACUGGUUAUAAGGAAGUGCAUUAGGCCAACAUGCAGAGAUGUAAUCGUAAGCAUGAUGAAUCAGGAUCAAACUGUACCUGGUGGUAACACCAGACAAAGCACUAUAUCCAGAUAACCAAAAGAUGGCAAAUUAAUGAGGCUACUGGCUCCUGAUGAGGAUGUGAGGACUGCAAACUGCAGCUGCUGUGGUAGGUACCUGAGGACUGGUCUGACUGAGAAAGUUUUAUAUUGGGUCAUCAGUUUUUGGCAUGACAGUCACAAUCCUUGCAUGAAGGCCCCACAGAUUGACCUACCCACUGUUAGUCUCACUGAGUAUAACUUACCUAAGAGGACUGCACAAUGAUGCAGCAGACACACUGUGACACAGCUUGUGAGAAUGGCAUCUGCACCCAGAAGUGGUGUCCAAGAUCUGGUAUGUGUAGCCAGAAGCGUUGUUCUUGUCUCAGCAAGUUAGUCUCACUGAGAGUAAGCCACCUAACAGGACUGCACAAUGAUGCAGUAGGCAUAUGGUGACACAGCCAAUAGGCUGGUGAGAAUGGCAUCUGCACACAGAAGUGGUGUUCUUGUCUCAGCAAGAGACUCAUAAGCUCUAGCUCUUUGGAGUUUUCACUGAAGGUGUCCAUUUGGGAUGGGAGAGAAACAAUCACUGCAUACCUCUUUCAGACCAGCUAGGGUAUAAAAUAUUGUCAUAGGGACCGAAGUCCUCCUAACUGCAACUCACAACAACACUGUGAUUGUUAGACUGAUUUGCAUGAAGGCCUACCCACUGUUAGCCUGUUAACCUAGUGGGACUGCAAUGAUGCAGAGUGGCAACUGCACCCAGUAGUCAGUAUCCAAGAUGUGGGAAAGGUUUGACAAGGCACAGGAGGACCCCUUUCCUAAUGUCAAAUCAACUCAAAACAACUGACAGCAGCUGAGACAGGAGUGUCCAGGUAAAUCUCACUGUCUGUGGUGUUCAUAGACCCACAGAUAAACAUGUACAUCACUGAGAGCUUUUUAGGGUUUGUUGAUGAAUGUAAAAACUAAUCAGAACCACAUGACAUUCUUUGCCAUAAAUGCAAAACUAGUUCAUUAUAUCUUAAGAAUCUUUAUUAGAAACUUUUUGAAUAGUGAGGUAUUCACAAAUAAUCGGUGUACCUAAAUCAGCCAGUGGGUUGCAACAGUUUAUUCUUGGGAUUAUGAUAUUGCUUAUUGCGACCUCUUGGUUGUGAGUCAUUGUUGGAACCUGUGAGGAGUCAUGGAUCACUAUGGAGCUUGGAGUUAGGGCUUCAAUCUAACCACCCAACCCCAUAACCCAGAGAUUGUUGUCACCUGCAGAGAGUAACCAGUACUUGUCAGAUAUUCCGGCAGCUCCUUCAGUGUUCCUGUACGACUCUUGGCAAGUUUCUAUGACCAUGGCUACAGCAGCCGAAUGAAACCAAAAAAAUCCUACAGAAACAGCUGAUCUGUAUUUGGACGUUAAUCAGAACCAUUUCAUUGAUGAAAGACACCCUCAAUAAUUUUUACAGAUCCAGUAACGUGAGCAUGAGGAUUGCUGAGGAGAACGGUUUCUGAGGAUUGCUGAGAAGCAGAGUUUUGUGACUGAAGUGCACUCGCUAUGACUUUACCAUCUCACCGCAGCGCUUCCACUGAGAACUGCAUGACUCAGAGCACAGGCACAAGAGUCUCUGGAUUUCAAUACCUUCUCUCUCAUUCAUCGGCUUACGGAGCCAAACCCCACCCUGAAUUUCACGCCAUGCUUGUCAUCCGAAAAUUUUUUUGUUUUAACAGGUAAACUGAUUCUAUUUCACAAUGCAGAUACUCUCCUUUGAAGCACAUUCGGUGGCUGUGAAGAUGCUUACAAACGUCAGUAUUUCCCAUGCGCCCAUCACAUGCUGGAUGAAGCUAAUUGGAUAAGCGUGCAAAGUUAGGCGUUAAAUUGCUUCUUUUUUGCAGGGGAUGAACUUGUCUUUUUAGGGAAAGAAAAAAUGGAUCCAGCAAGUGCACACAAUUACAUGAGUCAUGAAUUUAAUGUUUUCUUCCCACUCACCCUCUAAAUGACCACAGAGGUAUAUGUGACCUCAGUGAGAGUGGACCAGCAUGAUUAAAAGCUGGAGUGAAGAGUGGGCCACUUCACAUUGCUGCCUUUACAACUGCAGCACACUGAUAAGAUUGGCCAGGUCUACUCAGUGAAUCAACACUACACCUUUUCGUGUUGUCUCUACUCCACGCUUCAUUUGUUUUGCCUUGUCACUGUCAUCCUUUGGCAGGUUGAGCCUUUGUCCAAAGCCCAAGGUAAUAAUUAAUUAUGAGUCAGAUAAUGACUCAGUCCUCUGUUUGGCAAUCGUGGCCAGCCGUGGUUGUCUUUCCAUGACUUUGGUUCGUUGCCACAUAAUGCAUCGCUUCUUUUCUUCCUUUUGUUUUGCUGUUUCUAUAACUUAGAGCCAUCGAUCACUACUCACGGUUUCUGGCAGCAGGGCGAGAGCCGAAGCGUGAAAAGUCAUCUGCUUCGUCACUUUUGCGUAUAGUUCAGAAGAGAUAAGCUGCCGCAUCAUCCGUGCCGCCUCUGACUUUUUGUUCUGGAUGUGAAAAUGCUUUAGGCUAAAAUGGAGAGCAAGACAGCGGCUUAUCUUUAAAGGGAGGAAAACGCACGAGAGGAAAAAGAGAAAUAUACUAGAGUGAAGUAUUGGUAGAACAAGUUGUAGGAAUGGGACGGAGAUAGAGAGAGGGAUCUGGUGGAAUGCAUAAAAGGAGGGUAGGAAAUUGGCCAUGCGGUAUAAUGUGUUUGGAGGAAAAGAAAAAAAAAAAAGGAGGAAAGCAAGCAGGCUGGAGACAUGGAGCGCAUGUUUUGGAGUGAAUGGAGGGAGAAAGGUAA